GCAGACACAUUCCAGCCAAUCAGCAGCAGACCCUCCCUCCCAGACCCUCCCACCUCCUGGACAGCAUCCAUUUUGAAGCUGCAUUCUUAGUGAGCUGUCCAGGAGGUGGGAGGGGCUGGGAGGGAGGGUCUGCUGCUGAUUGGCUGGAAUGUGUCUG